rnacentral:rRNA from 1 species
AGAGUUUGAUCCUGGCUCAGAUUGAACGCUGGCGGCAUGCCUUACACAUGCAAGUCGAACGGCAGCACGGGUGCUUGCACCUGGUGGCGAGUGGCGAACGGGUGAGUAAUAUAUCGGAACGUACCUUAUCGUGGGGGAUAACGCAGCGAAAGCUGCGCUAAUACCGCAUACGCCCUGAGGGGGAAAGCGGGGGACCGUAAGGCCUCGCGCGAUUAGAGCGGCCGAUAUCUGAUUAGCUUGUUGGUGGGGUAAAAGCCCACCAAGGCGACGAUCAGUAGCUGGUCUGAGAGGACGAUCAGCCACACUGGGACUGAGACACGGCCCAGACUCCUACGGGAGGCAGCAGUGGGGAAUUUUGGACAAUGGGGGCAACCCUGAUCCAGCAAUGCCGCGUGAGUGAAGAAGGCCUUCGGGUUGUAAAGCUCUUUUGUCAGGGAAGAAACAGCAGCUCUAACACAGUCUGCGAAUGACGGUACCUGAAGAAUAAGCACCGGCUAACUACGUGCCAGCAGCCGCGGUAAUACGUAGGGUGCAAGCGUUAAUCGGAAUUACU